rnacentral:rRNA from 1 species
GAUGAACGCUGGCGGCGUGCCUAAUACAUGCAAGUCGAGCGAACAGACGAGGAGCUUGCUCCUCUGACGUUAGCGGCGGACGGGUGAGUAACACGUGGAUAACCUACCUAUAAGACUGGGAUAACUUCGGGAAACCGGAGCUAAUACCGGAUAAUAUAUUUAACCGCAUGGUUCAAUAGUGAAUGACGGUUUUGCUGUCACUUAUAGAUGUAUCCGCGCCGCAUUGGCUGGUUGGUAAGGUAACGGCUUACCAAGGCAACGAUGCGUAGCCGACCUGAGAGGGUGAUCGGCCACACUGGAACUGAGACACGGUCCAGAGUCCUACGGGAGGCCGCAGUAGGGAAUCUUCCGCAAUGGGCGGAAGCCUGACGGAGCAACGCCGGGUGAGUGAUGAAGGUCUUCGGAUCGUAAAACUCUGUUAUUAGGGAAGAACAAAUGUGUAAGUAACUAUGCACGUCUUGACGGUACCUAAUCAGAAAGCCACGGCUAACUACGUG